UACGUAGGGGGCAAGCGUUGUCCGGAAUCAUUGGGCGUAAAGAGCGUGUAGGCGGCCCGAUAAGUCCGCUGUGAAAGUCCAGGGCUCAACCCUGGAAUGCCGGUGGAUACUGUCGGGCUCGAAUCCGGAAGAGGUGAGUGGAAUUCCUGGUGUAGCGGUGAAAUGCGCAGAUAUCAGGAGGAACACCAGCGGCGAAGGCGGCGCUCUGGGCCGGUACUGACGCUGAGGAGCGAAAGCGUGGGGAGCAAACAGG
rnacentral:rRNA from 1 species